AGCCCAAUUUAUUUUCUCAUAUUUGAUUUUAUUUUUGGAAGACCCAUUUUCUUUUCCCAUUUUACGUUUAGUUGUAAAAUUGAGGCCACCUAUUAUUUUGACUUUUCUUUCUUCCUGACAUUUGUCCAAGUUCAUAGACCUUACAAAGAUAGUUUUCAUCUUCCUCCUCCAUACGUGUAUAUGGAAGAGUUUGCCACCAAAUAUUUUUGAAUUAUCUUUCUUCUUGAAAUCUGUCAAAUUCAUGACAUUCAAUUUCUUCUCCUUCCUCUUAUGCGUGGCAAAGCCCUGUCAAUUUGAAUUGCCAAAUGUCCAAUUUAUUUCUCAAUUUCAUGACUCACCAUCUCAAGAAAGCUUUAUAAAUAGCUUUCUAAUGUUCAGUAAAUUGCAAUACCAAAAACCCAAUUCAAAAAUGAGUAAGAAAAACGGGUAAGAAAAACGGGUACUCCAUUGAUAAAUCUUGAAGCUUUUUCCUGCAUUUUUCUCUCUCCUCCUUUGACCACCGCGGCCACCACUCGCCGGCGUUACUGCUGCCACCACCUGUGCCGACGAGUCUUUUCUUCCGCCACCCAGACACCCCCCUUGCUGCACCGUCCGCUGCCGGUGACGGAGCUCUAUUUCCUCUGCUGUAUUGUUGCGUGCUACUGCUUCUGAUCUUCCUCUUUGAAUCAAAAUCACCAAAAAUAAAAAGGGUUAAAGGGGGGGGGGGGGGUGAUGUGGGCCUUGCUGAUUUAUACUAGUAGCGCUAUUAUGGGGGUAGGUGGACCUUAAUUUUGGAGCCAAUAUGGGCUCCCAACAAGUUACGAAAAAGAGGCUAAUAAAUUAUUCAAGGAUUAUAUAAGUGAUGGAGCUUAUGCAUUUUGGGAUUAACAUCGAUGAUAUUUAAUGGUUAAGCCGAUUAGAUUAAGCGAUCGAGGUUCGGUUAAGGAGCUAUAGUUGCUCAAGAGAAAAGUUAUUACUGGAGUUUAGUUUAUUAUGGAGAUAUCGAGAUGAGAAAUAUUUAUUAUGGAAAUCUUGUUAUUGAGGUUGUUGUAAGAAUAUUGAUUUAUAAUUAUUUUUGGGAAAGUUGUAUUAUUUCUGGAAUGUUAUUAAGGAUUAUUUUAUUUGUGGGCCCAUACCAACAGGUCCCAGAAUUAAUUAAGCCUAAUUUCGCUGCUAAUGAUGAGUUAUGUAAGGUUUAUUACCGAUAAUUAAGGUACCGAAAAGUCGGGGCGUUACAGUAGUCCCCUCCAUUAAAGGACCAAUAGCCCUAUAUUGUGAUAAUAACGGAGCUAUUGCACAGGCAAAGGAGCCUAGACACCACCAAAGAGUCAAGCAUGUACUUCGUAGAUUUCACCUUCUACGAGAGUUCGUUGAAAGAAAAAGAAGUCGAGAUAAGCAAGAUUGGAACUGAUGACAACAUCUCAGAUCCAUUGACUAAACCUCUGCCGCAGGCGAAGCACAACUCGCACACUGCAGCUAUGGGUAUCAAGCAUAUUGGAGAAUGUCUUUGAUGUCCUUGUUUAAUGUUUUAAAGUUUUAGAGUUUAAUACUUUGUAAAACAUUAUUGGUUAAUCAUUCACAAUAAAUUAAUAGAAAUCAUUUUUCC